CUGCUUUUUCUUUUUCUUGUCCUUCUCCAGUUUCUGUUUGUGUCUCCGUUCUUCUUCCAGUUUCACAUACUGGUCAGACAUUGGCAUUCCUGGAACUUUCAAGGGGACAGAAAGGUCGAUCUGGACCACGGGGAUAUGUUCCACACCUGGAGUGUCCUGGUAACGCUUCUGCGGGGAAGGAGAGCUUUUAAUAUAAAAGGGAUUGUUUGCCUGUUCUUGUUUCCG
rnacentral:lncRNA from 1 species